rnacentral:rRNA from 1 species
GGCUCAGAUUGAACGCUGGCGGCAUGCUUACACAUGCAAGUCGAGCGGCAGCGCGGGGGCAACCCUGGCGGCGAGCGGCGAACGGGUGAGUAAUGCAUCGGAACGUACCCUGGAGUGGGGGAUAACGCCGCGAAAGCGGCGCUAAUACCGCAUAUGCUCUGAGGAGGAAAGUGGGGGACCGCAAGGCCUUGCGCUCUUUGAGCGGCCGAUGUCAGAUUAGCUAGUUGGUGAGGUAACGGCUUACCAAGGCGACGAUCUGUAGCGGGUCUGAGAGGAUGAUCCGCCACACUGGAACUGAGACACGGUCCAGACUCCUACGGGAGGCAGCAGUGGGGAAUUUUGGACAAUGGGCGCAAGCCUGAUCCAGCCAUGCCGCGUGAGUGAAGAAGGCCUUCGGGUUGUAAAGCUCUUUCGGCCGGGAAGAAAUCGCAUGGGUUAAUACCCUGUGUGGAUGACGGUACCGGAAUAAGAAGCACCGGCUAACUACGUG